GAUGAACGCUAGCGGGAGGCCUAACACAUGCAAGCCGAGCGGUAUUUAUUCUUCGGAAUAGAGAGAGCGGCGUACGGGUGCGGAACACGUGUGCAACCUGCCUUUAUCAGGGGGAUAGCCUUUCGAAAGGAAGAUUAAUACCCCAUAAUAUAUCUGAUGGCAUCAUUAGAUAUUGAAAACUCCGGUGGAUAGAGAUGGGCACGCGCAAGAUUAGAUAGUUGGUGAGGUAACGGCUCACCAAGUCAGUGAUCUUUAGGGGGCCUGAGAGGGUGAUCCCCCACACUGGUCCUGGGACACGGACCAGACUCCUACGGGAGGCAGCAGUGAGGAAUAUUGGACAAUGGGUGCGAGCCUGAUCCAGCCAUCCCGCGUGAAGGACGACGGUUCUAUGGAUUGUAAACUUCUUUUAUACUGGGAUAAACCUACCCUCGUGAGGGUAGCUGAAGGUACAGUAUGAAUAAGCACCGGCUAACUCCGUGCCAGCCGCCGCAGUAA
rnacentral:rRNA from 1 species